rnacentral:rRNA from 1 species
UUUUAAUGAGAGUUUGAUCCUGGCUCAGGACGAACGCUGGCGGCGUGCCUAAUACAUGCAAGUAGAACGCUGAGGUUUGGUGUUUACACUAGACUGAUGAGUUGCGAACGGGUGAGUAACGCGUAGGUAACCUGCCUCAUAGCGGGGGAUAACUAUUGGAAACGAUAGCUAAUACCGCAUAAGA